rnacentral:rRNA from 1 species
AACGAACGCUGGCGGCAGGCUUAACACAUGCAAGUCGAACGCCCCGCAAGGGGAGUGGCAGACGGGUGAGUAACGCGUGGGAACAUACCCUUUUCUACGGAAUAGCUCUGGGAAACUGGAAUUAAUACCGUAUACGCCCUACGGGGGAAAGAUUUAUCGGGGAAGGAUUGGCCCGCGUUGGAUUAGCUAGUUGGUGGGGUAAAGGCCUACCAAGGCGACGAUCCAUAGCUGGUCUGAGAGGAUGAUCAGCACAUUGGGACUGAGACACGGCCCAAACUCCUACGGGAGGCAGCAGUGGGGAAUAUUGGACAAUGGGCGCAAGCCUGAUCCAGCCAUGCCGCGUGAGUGAUGAAGGCCUUAGGGUUGUAAAGCUCUUUCACCGAUGAAGAUAAUGACGGUAGUCGGAGAAGAAGCCCCGGCUAACUUCGUG